rnacentral:RNase_P_RNA from 1 species
GAAGUCGGUCAGGCAAUCGCUCUUCGUCUAGUACGAGGGGAGGAAAGUCCGGGCUCCAUAGGGCAGGGUGCCAGGUAACUCCUGGGAGGCGAAAGUCUACGGAAAGUGCCACAGAAAAUAUACCGCCUUUUACCUUUGGGUAACAGGUAAGGGUGAAAUGGUGCGGUAAGAGCGCACCGCACGGCUGGCAACAGGCGUGGCAGGGAAAACCCCACCCGGAGCAAGACCAAAUAGGAAUCCAUUUUAUCUUAGGAUAAAGACGUAGGGCCCCUACGGGAUUCGGGUAGGUUGCUUGAGGCAUGUGGUGACGCAUGUCCCAGAUGAAUGAUUGUCCGCGACAGAACCCGGCUUAUCGACCGACUUCCUUU